rnacentral:rRNA from 1 species
AAAUAAUGAUUAUAAAGAGUAGAUUUUAUAUGUAAUUCAAUUAUUAAGUUUAAAAGUAUUGGCGGUGUUAAAUUAUAUUCUGAGAAACUUGCUAGAUUAAAAUGAUGAACCACAAAUUAUCUUAUCAUAUUUUUUUGGUUUAUGUAUUGCUGUUUAAUUAAUGAGUUAAUUGGAUAAAAAUUAGUAAAAGUAUAUAAAUAUAAAAUAAAGAUUUCAAGUCAAGAUGUAGUUUUAAUAUGGUUUUAGUGAGUUGCUUUUUAUUAGAGAAGAAGUGUUAAAGUAAUUAUUGAAAAAUUUUUAUGAGAUUAGGAUUAGGGUGUAAAAGAAAAGUAAUUAGUUUUUUUGAUAAAUUAUAUUAACAUGU